rnacentral:rRNA from 1 species
UGGGGAAUUUUGGACAAUGGGGGAAACCCUGAUCCAGCCAUCCCGCGUGUGCGAUGAAGGCCUUCGGGUUGUAAAGCACUUUUGGCAGGAAAGAAACGUCAUGGGUUAAUACCCCGUGAAACUGACGGUACCUGCAGAAUAAGCGCCGGCUAACUACGUGCCAGCAGCCGCGGUAAUACGUAGGGUGCAAGCGUUAAUCGGAAGUACUGGGCGUAAAGCGUGCGCAGGCGGUUCGGAAAGAAAGAUGUGAAAUCCCAGAGCUCAACUUUGGAACUGCAUUUUUAACUACCGGGCUAGAGUGUGUCAGAGGGAGGUGGAAUUCCGCGUGUAGCAGUGAAAUGCGUAGAUAUGCGGAGGAACACCGAUGGCGAAGGCAGCCUCCUGGGAUAACACUGACGCUCAUGCACGAAAGCGUGGGGAGCAAACAGG